AAUAUUCACAAACCCAUAUCACUUAAAACCUGUUUUUGGUUGGGGCGACCAUGAAGAACAAUACAACCCUCAUAAGGAAUGAAACUCCUAAAACACGAACGACAGUUCUAAUUAACAGAAUUUCUGACCAUCAAGACCCAGUACAACUGAUUAAUGAACCAAGUUACCCUAGGGAUAACAGCGCAAUUUUCUUCAAUAGCCCCUAUCGACAAGAAAGUUUACGACCUCGAUGUUGGAUCAGGACAUCCUAACAGUGCAACCGCAGUUAAGGGUUUGUUUGUUCAACGAUUAAAGUCCUACGUGAUCUGAGUUCAGACCGAAGCAAUUCAGGUCAGUUUAUAUCUAUAACUUGCUUUUCUUCAGUACGAAAGGACCAAAUAAAGAAGGCCAAUAAAACAUUUAAGCCCUAUCCCUAAACACUUAUUUAACCUAAAAUGCAAUCAAACACAA